AACGGCGAGUGAAGCGGCAAGAGCUCAAAUUUGAAAUCUGGCCCCCUAGGGGGUCCGAGUUGUAAUUUGCAGAGGAUGCUUCGGGUGCGGCCACGGCCUAAGUUCCUUGGAACAGGACGUCAGAGAGGGUGAGAAUCCCGUCUUUGGCCGCCGGUCCACGCCCGUGUGAAGCUCCUUCGACGAGUCGAGUUGUUUGGGAAUGCAGCUCUAAGCGGGUGGUAAAUUUCAUCUAAAGCUAAAUAUUGGCCGGAGACCGAUAGCGCACAAGUAGAGUGAUCGAAAGGUUAAAAGCACCUUGAAAAGGGAGUUAAACAGCACGUGAAAUUGUUGAAAGGGAAGCGCUUGCGGCCAGACUCGGGCGCGGGGUUCAGCGGGUGCGCGUCACCCGUGCACUCCCCGCCGCCCGGGCCAGCAUCAGUUCUCGCGGCCGGUCAAAGGCCCUCGGAAUGUGUCGUCUCUCGGGACGUCUUAUAGCCGGGGGUGCAAUGCGGCCCGCGGGGACUGAGGAACGCGCUUCGGCUCGGAUGCUGGCGUAAUGGCCGUAAGCGGCCCGUCUUGAAACACGGACCAAGGAGUCUAACAUCCACGCGAGUGUUCGGGUGUCAAACCCGUGCGCGCAGUGAAAGCGAACGGAGGUGGGAGCCUCAGGGCGCACCAUCGACCGAUCCUGAAGUCUUCGGAUGGAUUUGAGUAGGAGCGUGGCCGUUGGGACCCGAAAGAUGGUGAACUAUGCCUGAAUAGGGUGAAGCCAGAGGAAACUCUGGUGGAGGCUCGCAGCGGUUCUGACGUGCAAAUCGAUCGUCAAAUUU
rnacentral:rRNA from 2 species